rnacentral:rRNA from 1 species
UACGAAGGGGGCUAGCGUUGUUCGGAAUUACUGGGCGUAAAGAGCUCGUAGGCGGUUUGUCACGUCUGCUGUGAAAUCCCGAGGCUCAACCUCGGGCCUGCAGUGGGUACGGGCAGACUGGAGUGCGGUAGGGGAGAAUGGAAUUCCUGGUGUAGCGGUGGAAUGCGCAGAUAUCAGGAGGAACACCGAUGGCGAAGGCAGUUCUCUGGGCCGUAACUGACGCUGAGGAGCGAAAGCGUGGGGAGCGAACAGG